rnacentral:rRNA from 1 species
ACGGGUGCGUAACACGUGAGGAACAUGACUUUCGGUGGGGGAUAGCCGGCCCAACGGCCGGGUAAUACCGCGUACGACCUUUCGGGGACAUCCCCGGUUGGUGAAAGCAGCAAUGCGCCGAAAGAGUGCCUCGCGGCCUAUCAGCUAGUUGGUGGGGUAAUGGCCCACCAAGGCGACGACGGGUAGCUGGUCUGAGAGGAUGGCCAGCCACAUUGGGACUGAGACACGGCCCAGACUCCUACGGGAGGCAGCAGUGGGGAAUAUUGCGCAAUGGGCGAAAGCCUGACGCAGCGACGCCGCGUGUGGGAUGACGGCCUUCGGGUUGUAAACCACUGUCGGGAGGGACGAAUGCCCCGCAAGGGGAGUGACGGUACCUCCAAAGGAAGCACCGGCUAACUCCGUGCCAGCAGCCGCGGUAAUACGGAGGGUGCGAGCGUUGUCCGGAAUCACUGGGCGUAAAGGGCGCGUAGGCGGCCUGAUAAGUAGGGGGUGAAAUCCUGCGGCUUAACCGCAGGGCUGCCUUCUAAACUGUCGGGCUAGAGCACGGUAGAGGCAGAUGGAAUUCCCGGUGUAGCGGUGGAAUGC